GGCCCCAGGGAGACAUGGGAGAGCGCGUCUGUCUGCAAAGAACAAUAGCUGCUCUUCUUCUCGUCCCCACCCAUUACCACCAGAGCCUUAUUAGACAUGGAAUGACAAAUGAACAAGAACAGAAAUGACACUCCUGAUACUGGGCAUAUAAUUUAGUCAUAACAAGUGAAACAUCAUAGCAGGGGCACGAACCUGCUAUGAUGCAACAGAAGGGGGUGGGGACAGACAACGGAUGGGCACCCCAUAGUGAUAGAAAUCUCCAGAGAACGAGGAGGGCACCAAAGAGGAGAAUUACAUGCUUGUAUGCCUAUACAAAGUUCCAGGAAUGAUCAACACAAAAACAAUGGGCCUCAGCACUCACAGUGCAUUUUUGAAGUUCUUGGAAAUUACUUAACAACCCUGCAAUUAUUCAGCAUUUUGCUUCACCCAUUGGAAUGAGGUGUGUGUGAGAUGAGAAAAUGGUAGGAGGAGUCUGAGGCUUCUCAGAGUCCUCCACUGGGACCUAAGAGGUGGAAGGAGUGCUCUCCUAGAGGCAGAAGUUGCAGGCCCUUCCCAAAUAUCGGCAACUAGUGUCCACAGUUGGCAUCAUGGAAUCUGAAGAGAGAGCUAGAGUGGAAAUAUAAAGUCCGUGGAGUCACCAAGUAUAAAUAUUUUAAAUCCAAUGCUUACUCUCACUUUAGUUCUCUUUAUUGCCCUGGGCCAGAAAACAACUGAUCUGUGCUACCCCAAUUUCAUCACCGUCUAUGCUAUAGAUAGGGAACAGGCUUAAUGCCAGAGAAAAGAUUUUUGGUCAGAUAUAUGUCUGUAAAAUUUAUAGCACCCUGGAAACUGCUGGGAAUUGUUCCAAGGUGUUUUUAAGUUUCUAAGAACAUUUUCACAUUCAUUAGUCAUUUUCUCCUCAAAACAUCCCAUUAUGGCAUUAUUUAUCCCCAUUGAUAAGGGCCAGCUGUGUAUUUGGAAAUUUACAAUAUUGGAGGUUCUAAAUUUGGACUCAGCAGUCUUUAAGUCCUUUCUAAAAUACCAAUCUCAUACUGUAGGAGGAAACUUGAGAUUACAGGACUGAGCAAAUUGAUGUCAUAGGUCUGGAAUGCAGCUACUGACUCCACCGGGAAUGAGCGUCUUAGAGGCUAGGCCUCACCUUUCAAUUUAUUUUCAAGAAUACUUGUUUCUUUUAUAGGGAUGCACAGCCACCCUUAUGGGACCGCUUAUGGCACCUUUAUAAGACCCAGGCUUUAAAAUGAAGCUAGGGUUUUGGGGGCAGCAUGUUUUGAAAAACCCCUUCGGAUUCAAGGUGGAGCUUGCAUCUUGGAAACAGGGCCAAUGUUGUACCCCCACAAGUGUCCCCAGAACGUUUGCCCUCUGGCUUGUGCCGAGCAGCCCAUUUAUUCCACUACCAGAUGUGUUGCCUGGUUCUGUGCUGGCCUUUUGCUUUUUGUUUUUCUUAUGGGUCAUGUUUGGAGGAGACAAAACAAUGAGUGGCUGCACUAUAACCAGAGAAAACUCUGCUAUUAACUAGGCAGCCUUACAGUCAAACACACAUGAUUUCAAAUGAGGCCCUCUAUGUUUCAUUUCUCAUGAAAGGAUCUGAGAACAUAAAGGCUAAGCAUAGGUAUGAAAUCUAGCUAAGCCCUCCCGAAGGGGAUGUGCUGUAAUUAGCUGUUUUGACUUUGAAAUGAGAUUCGGUAGGAAAAUGAUAUUGUGGCAUUGUAAUGACAAAGCACUAAACAGCUCAGAACUUAGGGGGGCUGCAUUCUAGUCCUGCUCUGCUCUGCUCUGUACCUACUGUCCUUGGAGAAGGUACUGGACCCCUAUGGGCCUAUGUUCUUUUCUCUGCAAAUAAUAAACAGCACAGUCAUGUACCACAUAAUGAUGUUUUGGUCAAUGACAGGCCACAAAUACAAUGGUGGUCCCAUUAGAUUAGUACCAUAUAACCUAGAGGUGCAGUAGGCUAUAUCAUCCAGGUUUGUGUAAGUUCACGCUAUGAUGUUUUGCACAACACAAAAUCGCUUAAUGAUGCAUUUUUCAGAAUGUAUCUCCAUUGUUAAGCAAUGCACAACUGCAAUUUAAUAAGCUAAGGUUGAUUUAAUGCCUAUAAUGUGCAGGCAUAGUUGUAAGAAUGGUAUGUAUGUUAAUUCACUUCAUCUUCAUAGCAGCCCCUUGAGGUAGUACCAUCAACAUUUCCAUCAUACAAAUGGGAAAACUGAGGCACAAAACAUUGCCUUCCUUGCCCCAGGUCACACAGCUAGCAAGUGACAGAGCCAAGACUGAAACCCAGGCCUUCUGUCUCUAUAGUCUGAAGACUCUUAACCACUGUUAUUUGUUUCCUAUUGCUGCUCUAACAAAUUACCACAAACUGAGUGGCUUAAAACAACACAAAUUUAUUAUCUUACAGUUGUGGCAGUCAGAAUUCCGAAAUAUGUUUCACUGUGUUAAAAUCAAGGUGUCAACAGAGCUGCGUUCCUUCUGGAAGGAGAGACUCUGUUCCCUUGCCUUUUUCAGCUUCUAGAGGCUGCCUGCACUCCCUGUGCCUCUUCUAAGCCAGCAGUAUAGUAUCUUCCAAUCUCUCUCUGACUUUGACCCUCCUGCCUUCCACUUAUAAGGACUCUUGUGAUUACACUGUGUUCAUCCAGAUAAUCCAGGAUAAUCCCUUCAUUGUGAGAUCCUUAAUUUAAUCACAGCUGAAGAGUCCUUUUUGCCUUGAAAAGUUACAUAUUCAUAGGUUUGGGGAUUAGGACAUGGACAUCUUUGGGGGUACAAUUAUUCUGUCUACGACAACCAUAACACUCUACUAGUCAGAAGCUGUAAACUGGCGUCUGGUGGGCUGGAUUUGACUCUCCAAGUUUUCCUUGGAUGCUCAGAGGUUACAGUUUUUUCUUAUCUGAAUGCCUGUAGAUAGGGCGUGUGGGUCCCAGUAAGCCCAGUCCCCAGCACCCGCUCAGAUACGACGUGUGAGCACGGUGACAUCUGUCCUGCUUUCUUCCUUUCCAAUCACUCUUGGCCCUUGUGGGUCUCUGAGGUUGCGAGCCCUGGGUGAGAUCAUCAAGUCACAAGGACCCUAACUUUCCUUUUCCUUCUUUCAUCCACCAAUCUACCCACCAUUGACUAACAACCCUACUGAGGACUGGGCACCGACAGUUCCUGAGAGCUCACAGCCCGGAGGUGCACGAAAAAGAAAAGCAGAAGUGACUUUGGUUUUCUGCAUCUCAGCCCCAGAGGGAGGUAACUGCCUUUUCAGACAGACGGAAAAAGAAAACGCAGAGGGGCUGCCUGGAGCUCUGUGUUGAGAAGGAUUCUGAAGCCUGCCCACACCUUUGUAAUCAGUCCUGUUGUAAAUAAACCCUCCUCGAGUUCUCAUAAUGAGUGAACCAUCUGUUUUCUGUUGGAACCUUGGUGGAUGGGAAGAUCACGGUAGGGAGACCCUUCCUUUUUGAUGGAGCUGUUCAGAUUUGAGGCUGAAGAUAUCAAAGGAGAAGGACACAUUUGCUUUGACAGUCAGCUAAGCAUAUCAGCUCUGGUGAUUGACAGAGUGACAGACAAUGGCGAUCCUGACUAGAUUAUUUUUGUACCAUUUCUCUUUAAAGGUAGAGGCUCAAACUGGGCACAACGCUCCAACCAAGAGGAAUAAGUUAAGAAAAAUAUUUGGAUGACUUGCACACAAUACUCCCUGUGUCCCACAGACACAUAAUCUCCAAUCUUCGCAAAUUAUCCCAGUUAUUUCUGGGAGUCCUCGCUUGGUUUUUAACAUGUCCCCCAAACAUGUCCUAUCAUUAUCAAAUGACACUGGCCAUUUCCUUCCUUUUAUGCCUUAGCCCCUUCAGUGAGGUCUCUUGCCUUUACUGCUGGAAAAGCCACCUGACAACACCUGGUCAUUUCAACUACUGCUAAAGAUGUCUGCCCAGCGUGAGGACAUAGAUGUCCAUGUCAAUGGAGCCCACCUCCUGCAAGAGAGUAGACCUCUGGUGGACUCAGAACAUGCCCACCAAACAUACCCACAACUGUCUGAAACUCAGCAAAAAACCUGAUUCAGGCUCAAGCAGGAACUUCCAGUAUGCACAGGAAUCUAGGUAGACUUUUCUUAACUUGAGCCUUAUCUGGGUAUCCCUGUACUUAUUUUCCCUACUUCUUUAAAGAAUAUUGCUUUGGAUGAACACAGAUCUCUUGGGAAAGGACAAAGAGCGAUUCAAAUGAAGAGAGGAAGCUCUGGGGGUCACUGAUGAGUGACUGUAAUAGACAAUAUCAUGAUUAUGUUGACACGCACAGCCCAGACAAUACAAAAACGUCCUAAGAGUAUAUACUUAUUCAUCUACGCAUUCAUGUAUUCAUUCAAAAAGUAUUAUGGUUCCAGAUUUUCCCAGUGCCCCUGCUUUGCUGGUCCUCAAUAAACAGCAUAUAUAGCCCUUGAUCACUUUCCAAAGCAAGGCGAGGGAUGAGAAGUUGGAAAUAGGCCCUAGGAUGCUCCUCUCAUGUCCCACUCUGACUGUGACACCUGGACUCCUCCUAGGACCUGCAGAACAUGUGCAGCUCAUGCUUUUUCAUGUUCACCCCCAAUGGGCCCAUCUCUCAUCUCGGGGACGUUAGCACUUCCCAAGGAGGGGUCUGAGGGUAGAAGUGAGGCAGAAGCCAGGAGACAGGUGGCAGGAAUCCCCUGGCCUCCUUUCCCCUCUUCAUUGAAUGAGUCUGCAGCUAUUUUUCCCCAGCUGCCUCCCAGGGCCUCUCCUGCACUCCUAUUUCUGGAAAAAAUAACAACUCAAGUUCAGAUGAGAUCCCAUGCUGUUUAGAAACCUGGAGACAAAAACACAAAAGCCCCAAUGAGUCUCAGAUGCUUGAGUGGAGGGGAUUUUGGUCACAUUAUUUUGCAAAGUUUUCUAUACUUCUCUUUUAUGAAAAUCUCAUUUCCUCUACUGUUUCCUGAGACAUCUCUCCACAAUGUUAAAUGUGAAGCUUCAUUUUUAAACCAAUAGCCUGACAGCCCAAAGGAGUGGCACAGAAUGUGGUUAUUCUCAUUAAACUAUAAGUGCUUUCCCGUGCCCUGAUAAUCUUUCACAAAAUACAUUUUUGUGUAUAUGCAACAAAAAGGACCCCCUCCUCACCACACACCCCAUUUUUCUCCCCAGUAGCAUUAUGGGUUUUAGGAAUGUCUAACCAGUCUGGAUUUGCAUUUUCGCAUUCUUUGAAAAUCUUUUUGUUAAUUUUAAAGCGGUCAGGAAUAAUGGAAUGGUUUUUUUUUUGGUCCAGGAAAGGAUCUACUUAU